UACGGAGGGUGCAAGCGUUAUCCGGAUUCACUGGGUUUAAAGGGUGCGUAGGCGGGUUGGUAAGUCCGUGGUGAAAUCUCCAAGCUUAACUUGGAAACUGCCGUGGAUACUAUCAAUCUUGAAUAUAGUGGAGGUGAGCGGAAUAUGUCAUGUAGCGGUGAAAUGCGUAGAUAUCAGGAGGAACACCUGUGGCGAAAGCGGCUCACUGGACCACAACUGACGCUGAUGCACGAAAGCUAGGGGAGCAAACAGG
rnacentral:rRNA from 1 species